rnacentral:lncRNA from 1 species
AAGUGCCAAGCAAAAGGAACCAGCCUGGUUGUUGAACUAGCACCGAAGGUCUUAGAUGGUACUCGAUGCUAUACAGAAUCACUGGACAUGUGCAUCAGCGGCCUAUGCCAAAGAGAGCAAUCUGUCUCCCCAAGUCCUUUAUUCUAUACCUAACCACAGUGGUUCUAGGGAUUAUAGAUCGUUGGCUGUGAUCACCAGCUGGGAAGCACCGUCAAGAAAGAUAACUGUGGAGUCUGCAGUGGAGAUGGCUCGACCUGCCGGCUGGUCCGAGGGCAGUAUAAAUCUCAGCUCUCUGCAAGUAAAUGUAAGACACUACAGAGAUGGGCAGUCCUGUACUUGUUGACUUGUUCCUUAACCCUUACCUAGCAGUGGUUCCCCUAUGCACCUGUUGAAUAAAACAUCUACCAAAACAG